AGACAACAACAGCUGGAUGAAGCCUUACUGGACAUGAUCGUUUCUGAUUGUCAGCUUUUGUCAAUUGUGGACAAUGAUGGCUAUAAGGCUUUUAUCAAGCUUUUGGACCCCACCUACACUGUUCCAAGCAGGAAAGCACUGAAGAAAAAACUGGACAAGAAAUACAAGGUGACCAUGAAAAUGCUAUGGCUAAGAUGGGAAAAGUCUCAACUGUCAGCCUAAAAGCUGAUAUGUGGACAUCCAUAAACAUGGAUGCUUACCUUGCUGUGACCUGUGACUUCAUUACAGAUGAGACAAGCUGUCCACUCUCCUAUUAGGGGUAACAAAAUUUCCCUAUUUCCACACUGCAGCCCACUUUGCUGAAGCUAAGAAAACCCUAAUCGCUAAAUGGGGAAUCAGAUGCAAAUUUCAAAGCCUUGUAACUGACUGUGCUGCUCAGUUAAAUGUGCGCCACACUGUGACUGUUGCUGUUUUGCCCAUGUCUUGAAUUUGAUUGUAAAAAAGUCACUCACACAAACUCCUGAGCUUGAGGAAAUUCGCACUAUAGCAAGAAGAAUAGUUGGAUAUUUUAAAUUAAGCACAACAGCCAAAGAAAAACUGUCUGAGGUUCAGAGCAAAUAGGAAAACCUCAGCAUAAGCUUAUACAGGAGGUGGACACUCGCUGGAACAGUACAUUCAACAUGUUACAAAGACUUUAUGAACAACGGGAACCACUGGUAGCAUCUCUCACCAGCCUUGUGGUGUUCUCAUCAGAGGAGUUUAAAACAAUUAAUCAGUGUGUUCAAGUACCGUGGUCAUUCCAGCAAGCAACGGUGGAGUUGUCUGAAGAGAAAAGAGUCUCAGGCUCUAAAAUCAUUCCAAUGGUCAACACUACAGUGCCAGACAAUGUGCCCUGAAGACACAUCAUCAUCUCGGUGCAAAACUGGCCAACAACAUCAACACCAAUUUAAAUGAGAAGUUCGCUGUAAUAAAGAAGAUGACUGCACUUUCAUUAUCAACAUUGCUUGACCCAAGAUACAAACAACCAGAGAAUGUGCCGGCUUCAUUGUGACUGCAGUGCCCCAGGAAUCUGUCCCAUCAGUGCCACCUCCAGAUGUACAGGACAGGAAUCUCUGGGGGCUUCUGGACAGCCAUGUGGAGGCAGAGCAGCGAGCACCCAGUGCAACUGCCAGUGCUAUAGCCGAGGUGAAGAGGUACCUAAGAGAUGCACACCUGUCAAGAGUGGAGGACCCCCUAAAGUACUGGGCUGAACACAAAGUUGUGUAUCCUCAACCUGUAUUUUUUAGGUUGCUGUUCAGUACCUCUGCACACCAGCCUCAUCUGUGCCAUGUGAAAGUUUUUUUUUAAGACUUUUAUUCCUAAAUAAAUAUGUAUCUUUGUAA